AGUUUAUUGUCAGCAUAAAUAAAACAGAAUUUCUGUCUAUAAAGGAGAAGGGAUUUCUAGUCACCUGUCUGGAAUUAGAAGACCCAGAUGAUAUCAUUUUUACCAAGACAUUGAAAAGUAUGUGGUGAAAGGGGCAAGAACAUCUUUGGGAAGAAACAUAGUGGAUGUUCUCUAUGCUAAGCGAUUCUGGCAGUGCAAACAGAGUCACCCUGGAAGCUUCCAUAUCUGGGGCAAGCACCUCAUCUAGGUGUGGGUAGAGAGACAAGCCACGUUGGAGUUUCUCAAAGAAGUGAAAAUGAUCAAGAAGGUCUUGAAAACUAGAGAGAAGUCUUGAAGUUCUAUGCCUUCUCAUGCUGUAUAGAUUCAGAGACCUUGCCAGAGUUGGACCCAGUGGUGUGAAAGUGAUAUUUGUUGGAAUAGUAUGGGCAGGAAAACACAGUUAUUGUGCUUCUUAUUUCUUGAAGUGCCAAGCUCGACACUGAACAUGUUAUCCAUCUGUAAUUAGUGUAUUAGAUUUACUGGACACAAGAUCUAGACA